CUACCCGGGUUUCUAAUCCUGUUUGCUCCCCACGCUUUCGUGUUUCAACGUCAGAAAUGGACCAAGAAGCUGCCUUCGCCAUUGGUGUUCCUCUCGAGAUCUACGCAUUUUACCGCUACUCCGAGAAUUCCACUUCUCUCUUCCACCCUCUAGCACAUCAGUAUCUACUAUUUGCCUCCGGUUAGGCCGGAGAAUUUAACAGUUGACUUAGCAUGCCGUCUACACACCCUUUACGCCCAAUGAUUCCGAAUAACGCUUGCACCACUCGUAUUACCGCGGCUGCUGGCAC
rnacentral:rRNA from 1 species